UAAGCACUUAAGGUGUGGAGCCGUAGCGAAAGCGAGUCUUAAAUGGGCGAUUAAGUUACUUGGCGUAGACCCGAAACCGGGCGACCUAUCCAUGAGCAGGUUGAAGCGAAAGUAAAAUUUCGUGGAGGACCGAACCCACGAGCGUUGAAAAGCUCGGGGAUGACUUGUGGAUAGCGGUGAAAUUCCAAUCGAGCCCGGAGAUAGCUGGUUCUCCCCGAAAUAGCUUUAGGGCUAGCCUCAAGCGUAGAGAAACGGAGGUAGAGCACUGAAUGUCCUAGGGGGUAUUGCACUUACCGAAGACUAUCAAACUCCGAAUGCCGUUUUCUUUUACUUGGGAGUCAGACUGUGGGUGAUAAGAUUCAUAGUCAAAAGGGCAACAGCCCAGAUCGUCAGCUAAGGUCCCUAAAUGUACGUUAAGUGGUAAAGGAUGUGGGAUUGCACAGACAACCAGGAUGUUGGCUUAGAAGCAGCCACUCAUUUAAAGAGUGCGUAAUAGCUCACUGGUCGAGUGAUCCUGCGCCGAAAAUUUCCGGGGCUAAAACGUACUACCGAAGCUACGGCAUCAUUUAUGAUGGGUAGGGGAGCUUCGUAUGCAGGCUGAAGCAUGACCGUAAGGACAUGUGGACAGUAUACGAGUGAGAAUGUUGGCAUGAGUAGCGAGACGUGGGUGAGAAUCCCACGGGCCGUAAACCCAAGGUUUCCAGGGGAAGGUUCGUCCGCCCUGGGUUAGUCGGGACCUAAGCCGAGGCCGAAAGGCGUAGGUGAUGGACAACAGGUUGAUAUUCCUGUACCGCCAAUAAGCGUUUGAGAGAUGGAGUGACACAGUAGGAUAAGCUAACCGUACUGUUGGUUAUGUACGGCUAAGCAUUGAGGCAGUCUAAAUAGGCAAAUCCGUUUAGACAAUGCUAGGAUGUGAUGGGGAAGCCCUUCGGGGCGAAGUAGCUGAUUUCACACUGUCAAGAAAAGCUUCUAUCGAGUUUAAAGGCGCCCGUACCGUAAACCGACACAGGUGGGUGAGGAGAGUAUCCUAAGGCCAGCGAGAGAACUAUUGUUAAGGAACUCGGCAAAAUGACCCCGUAACUUAGGGAGAAGGGGUGCCUGUCUAUGACAGGCCGCAGAGAAUAGGCCCAAGCGACUGUUUACCAAAAACACAGGUUUCUGCUAAGUCGCAAGACGAUGUAUAGGAGCUGACGCCUGCCCGGUGCUGGAAGGUUAAGGGGAUCUGUUAGAGCAAUCGAAGCAGUGAACUUAAGCCCCAGUAAACGGCGGCCGUAACUAUAACGGUCCUAAGGUAGCGAAAUUCCUUGUCGGGUAAGUUCCGACCCGCACGAAAGGCGUAACGAUUUGGGCACUGUCUCAACAAUAGACUCGGUGAAAUUGUAAUCCCGGUGAAGAUGCCGGGUACCUGCGACAGGACGGAAAGACCCCAUGGAGCUUUACUGUAGCUUGACGUUGGGUCUUGGUACUACAUGUACAGGAUAGGUGGGAGACUAUGAAGCAUGGACGCCAGUCUGUGUGGAGUCAUCCUUGGGAUACCACCCUUGUAGUACUGGGAUCCUAACCAUAGGCCUUGAAUCAGGUCUUGGAACACCGUCAGGUGGGCAGUUUGACUGGGGCGGUCGCCUCCUAAAAAGUAACGGAGGCGCUCAAAGGUUUCCUCAGCACGGUCGGAAAUCGUGCGAAGAGUGUAAAGGCAAAAGGAAGCUUGAUUGCAAGACAUACAGGUCGAGCAAGGACGAAAGUCGGACUUAGUGAUCCGGUGGUACCGCAUGGAAGGGCCAUCGCUCAACGGAUAAAAGCUACCCUGGGG
rnacentral:rRNA from 1 species